AGGCAGCAGUGGGGAAUUUUGGACAAUGGGCGCAAGCCUGAUCCAGCAAUGCCGCGUGCAGGAUGAAGGCCUUCGGGUUGUAAACUGCUUUUAUCUGGGAAGAAACCUUUGGAUUUAUCCGAAGCUGACGGUACCAGAGGAAUAAGCACCGGCUAACUCCGUGCCAGCAGCCGCGGUAAUACGGAGGGUGCAAGCGUUAUCCGGAUUUACUGGGUUUAAAGGGUGCGCAGGCGGACUGUUAAGUCAGUGGUGAAAGCCCCGGGCUCAACCUGGGAAUUGCCAUUGAUACUGGCGGUCUUGAGUAUAGUUGAGGUAGGCGGAAUGCAACAUGUAGCGGUGAAAUGCUUAGAUAUGUUGCAGAACACCGAUUGCGAAGGCAGCUUGCUAAACUAUUACUGACGCUCAGGCACGAAAGCGUGGGGAUCAAACAGGAUUAGAUACCCUGGUAG
rnacentral:rRNA from 1 species